GACGAACGCUGACGGCGUGCUUAACACAUGCAAGUCGAACGGAGUGUCGAAGGGGUGAGUAAUACGUGAGUAACCUGCCUUCUUCUUUGGGAUAAGCCAGGGAAACUUGGUCUAAUACUGGAUAGUGGGGGAUGGGCUCACGGCGUGUCAGCUUGUUGGUGGGGUGAUGGCCUACCUAGGCGGUGACGGAUAGCCGGCCUGUGAGGGUGACGGACGAGAUUGGGACGGAGAUAAGGCGUAGAAACGUACGGGGGGCAGUAGAGGGGAAGACUGCAAAAUGAACGGGAGUCUGAUGGAGCGACAACGGGUGGGGGAUGAAGGCAUGCGGGUUGGAUACUCCUUUUGAUGGUGAACGGGUAGGAGUAGAAUAAGCGCGGGAUAACUACGUGCCAGAAGCCGCGGUAAUAC
rnacentral:rRNA from 1 species